UGUGUAUGUGGGAAUGUCUUCAUAUGCAAAGUGAAGUGUUCUGCACAGAUUAGCACAAAGCGUAAAACAAAAAUCAUAAAAAGAAAAUGCAUGCUGUACAUAUCCUUUGACAUUUGGAAAAUCGAAUAGUAUCUAUGGGACUUGUUCAUGAAUGUUUAUGAAUCCAUGGAAUCAGAAGAAAUGGACAUCUAGAGUCCCUUGAUGCUAAUGUAAUCAUCAGAAAUGUCUGAUAAACUAACAAACCAAAUCUGAUAUUUGAUUGUUUUACUUAUUGUGCAUUUUAAAUAACAUACUUCAGAAUACGAACACAAAUUUGUCUUCACGAAUGAAAUUAAAUGUGGUGUUCACUGUGUCAGAAAUUAUGACACCACAUGUUUACAUGCAAUCAUCUCUUUUUAACUUCUAUUUUUAUUUCAAUGACAGUCUUAUUUAAAUAAAUGUAUUAUACUUUUAAAAUGGAGUCUUCUAUCAUAAGGAAUGAAAAAAAUCUGACUUAAUAGACAGCAAUAACAAUAUCUUUUUUUUUUCAGUUUCGAGUCAUCAGAAUCAAGCUUUAUAAGGGUCACUUUCACCGAUGGGAUUUUGAGCAACGACCCGGAAGUAGUACUUUCGACCUGGAAAGAGACCAGUGACUGUGUAUUUGCUGCUGAAGAUGCGCUCAGCAGCUGUGAACCAGGCAGCCAACACUGUAGGAGUUGCCGGUGAUGGGAAUUUUGGUGCACUUUGUCCAUUCCUUUGCAUGUUCAGAACGAACUUCAAGGAUGUAGCCAGAGGGAUCAUCUCCUGCCUUGGGGGGACACCAAGCCAG